rnacentral:other from 1 species
UUCCGCCUGGGGUGCUCGGCAACUCCUGUGUGUUUUGAACCUACAUUUACUUUAAACGGGAAUCCUAAAUUUCUUUUGUUAAUGUCACGCCUUCGGCCCUGCACAUGUGCAGACCAGCUAUGGGAGAGGAAGACAGAGAUAAGAGCUGCGGUAACCCACCUGGCAUAAGCUAGGAGUCAAAAUGCAGGAACCGGCAUCAUCGGGUACAUC